UCUAUGAACCCACAAGCCAACUCUACUUUUAACUUUUUCUUAAAGUAAUUCUACAAAAUAAAUCAAAAAGAAAUUGGGAGUGUAUGAACUAAAAUAACUUUUGUUGGUGGGCACAACACCAAAUCUUCUCUACUGACUAUGACUGGAGGAGGUUGCAAAAAUGGUGGUGCCUAUUAUUUUAAUUUGCAUGGAAACAUGGAUUAUAUCGACGUUUGUAUUUCAUGAACAGUGAUGUCGCAAGAUUUUUGUAGGGAGUAUUGGACUUGUUGCUUCAGUUGCUAUGUAUGACUUCCCUGUA